UUGCAAAAGAGGGCAACUACUUUUUGGCUCCAAAGAAAGAACUUUCGAAUAUAAAAUCCAAAAUCCAGAACAUUCUGAACCCAAUAAAAUUCCGGACUUGCACUAAAAAAAUUGCAUCUUCCACCUUCUUUCACAACCUGUUUCCUGAAUCCAGCGAGCCCCAACCCUAGAAUUCUACCAUGUCCAGCAAGCAAGGUGGAAAAGCAAAGCCUCUGAAGCAACCUAAGCUCGAGAAGAAAGAAUACGACGAGAUCGACAAGAUUAAUCUUCAAAAAAAGAAGGAAGAAGAAAAGGCACUUAAGGAGCUCAAGGCAAAGGCUCAGCAGAAGGGAGCUUUUGGAGGUGCUGGUUUGAAGAAGAGCAGCAAAAAAUGAGUCCUGCUAAAAGCUAAUUCGACCAAUGGAAAAUUUUCUUGUCAUUGUGCCGUUGUAUUCUUGACUCCUGGUAUACGUUCUAACCCCGUUAGCUUGUGGUUAUUGAUGGUUGGUAAUAUCAAACUUAUCAGGAGCAUUUCUAUGUAAAAUUGUGUCCCGCGUAUUAAUAGAUCAAUACUACUGUUGCUUGUAA